AACCGACCUGGCUCACGCCGGUUUAAACUCAGAUCAUGUAAAAUUUCAAAGGUCGAACAGACCUAAUAUUUCAACUUCUACGCCAAAAUUAUUUUUUAAUCCAACAUCGAGGUCGCAAUCUUUUCAUUCGAUAAGAACUCUAAAAAAAAUUACGCUGUUAUCCCUAAGGUAAUUUUAUUUUAUAAUCUUCACUUAAGGAUCAAAUCUUCAUAAAUUAAUGUUCAAAAUAAAGAAAAGUUUUUUUAAUUUUCCUAUCGCCCCAACAAAAUACUUUAAAAAUUAAAUUCCCUUACMUACUCUUCUAGUUUUUAAAAUAUAAAACUCUAUAGGGUCUUCUCGUCUUCUAUAAAUAUUUAAGCUUUCUCACUUAAAAAUAAAAUUUUAAUAAAUUUUUACAGAGACAGAAAUUUUUUCAUCAAACCCUUCAUUCUAGUUUCCAAUUAAAAAACUAAUGACUAUGCUACCUUUGCACGGUCAAUAUACCGCGGCCAUUUAAUUACUCAUAGGGCAGGUCAGACCUGAAAUUAUUAUCAACAAGACAUGUUUU
rnacentral:rRNA from 1 species